AUUGAACGCUGGCGGCAGGCUUAACACAUGCAAGUCGAACGAGUGGCGGACGGGUGAGUAAUGUUUGGGAAUCUGCCUUAUGGAGGGGGAUAACUACGGGAAACUGUCGCUAAUACCGCAUCCCAUGGGAUGCGCCCAAGUGGGAUUAGGUAGUUGGUGGGGGAAUGGCUCACCAAGGCGACGAUCCCUAGCUGGUCUGAGAGGAUGAACAGCCACACUGGGACUGAGACACGGCCCAGACUCCUACGGGAGGCAGCAGUGGGGAAUAUUGCACAAUGGGCGCAAGCCUGAUGCAGCCAUGCCGCGUGAAUGAAGAAGGCCGUCGGGUUGUAAAGUACUUUCAGUGAGGAGGCGUUAAUCACAGAAGAAGCACCGGCUAACUCCGUGCCAGCCGCCGCGGUAAUUC
rnacentral:rRNA from 1 species